UUUCUUUCUAUUUCAUUCCGCUCAUGUAAAAAUAUCCAAACAAAACUGUAAUUUCAAACAGUUAAUGUAAUACCAUAAGUUAAUUGUCUAGAAUAUAACUUUAGCAUUAACAUAAUUCGACAAAAGAGAUGAUUAAUACAAUCCCGACACAAAGUCAUGAAAAUGUAUUCAUACACAUACUAAACAUUCAAAGAAAAACAUAGAAAUAUGGAGUACAUAACACAUCCAUGGUUCAAAAGAAUUCCCCAUAAACUAUAAGCAGACUAUAGUGUAAACCGACACGCGUCAUUUCUUCAACAUGUGGUCUGAGCCUUUCUU
rnacentral:lncRNA from 1 species